rnacentral:rRNA from 1 species
AGCGAACGCUGGCGGCAGGCUUAACACGUGCAAGUCGAGCGGGCGUAGCAAUCCGUCAGCGGCAGACGGGCGAGUAACACGUGGGAACGUACCUUUUGGUUCGGAACAACUGAUGGAAACUUCAGCUAAUACCGGAUAAGCCCUAACGGGGAAAGAUUUAUCGCCGCAAGAUCGGCCCGCGUCUGAUUAGCUAGUUGGUGAGGUAAUGGCUCACCAAGGCGACGAUCAGUAGCUGGUCUGAGAGGAUGACCAGCCACACUGGGACUGAGACACGGCCCAGACUCCUACGGGAGGCAGCAGUGGGGAAUAUUGGACAAUGGGGGCAACCCUGAUCCAGCCAUGCCGCGUGAGUGAUGAAGGCCCUAGGGUUGUAAAGCUCUUUUGUGCGGGAAGAUAAUGACGGUACCGCAAGAAUAAGCCCCGGCUAACUUCGUGCCAGCCGCGGCCGUAA